CCAAAGGCUCUUUUCAGAGCCACCCACGUGCGCGCUCAAAAGAUCU
rfam:Nomascus leucogenys chromosome 1a, whole genome shotgun sequence.